AGGUAGCAUCACCUCUUUGAUUUCUUCAAAUCAAAGCUUUUCAUCAGCAUUAGAACCUCUUCUUUCUUCAGAAUGAGCUUCAAGCUGCGGAUAAGUUGCAAAUGUCAAAUGUAGAACUGAAGCUGACUUACAUCAAAACUCAAUAGCUAUAACCAAAGUAGCACUGCAAAUGCUUCAGCUACCACACAGUACCAGCGUAUGGCCCAGAUGUGAACAGCUAGAGCCAAAUCCAACACUUCUGUAUUUUCAGUGUUGUUGUCUAGGUUAGCUAGAUCUAUAUGUGAGCAUUACUAUCCCACCUGUAACUGAAAUGUAGUAAGAGGGAGUUAUCAUUACAGCUCUGAACUCAUAUAGACAACAAAAUUAGCAAUUUGACUUCAAAACUACUUGAGACACUAGAUUUUUCUUAGUAGGCUAGGUUUUAUUAUAAGCCAUGGAUCACAACUGGAAGGACAUUGCAAUGCAGCAAGGUGCCAUGAAAAAGCUGAGAAGCAUCCAAGGAAUUACGUCUAUCUCAGUGCAAACUGUGCCAAACUUCUAAAACAUCCUGUAGUCUUCUAUUUCAAAAUGAAGCUGGAUAUUCACUAUUCUACAUUUUGAUUGCCUAACUUAAUGCUCUUAUAAACUCAGACUAUACUAAAGUUUAAGGGGAGGAAGUUAAGCUGUGAGAAACUCCUAAUAGCCUGCCAAGACGAAUAAUUUUCCCUUUAUAUUUUUUCAAAAGCAAUAUAGUACAAUACAGCAACAUGAAACUCUACUUUGCAGUACAGGUAUAUAUUAAAGGUCAACUAUAUUUCAUAGGCUUGCAGUCCCACUGAGAAACUGUUUUGAAAAAAACACUGGUGAUACAAGCAUCCAGGAAAGAAUCACAGAUUAACAAAAUGCUAAAAUUUAAAAAUGUCUCAGAAUUUCUGGGAUUUUUCAGCCUCUACUCAGUUUCAGCUCUAAUGUUUUUAUAAGCAAUAAUCAAGAGGCCUGUUGCAGACAGAGAGGGAUGAAGCUAUGAAAUAGCACAGCCACCUGCCUAUCAAUUAACCCUGAGCACCAUUGGAAAUGUUACUGCCACCAUAUCACCUGUCAUAUGUUCACAUCUGGUAUAAUAUGAAUUUUUUUUCAAAUAUAUUCAGAUGCUUCUUGAGGGCUUUGGUUUUUGUCUGCCAGUAAGUAAAUUCUAUCUUCAGUUUCCAGCUCAGGAUUGAAUGCUGGGAGCUUCUGCUACAACUUCCAUCUGCAGAACUUCUUGUGUGGGCAGCUGCACAAGAAACUCUUCAAACUCUUCUGCAGCUCAGAAGACAUUGAUGCCUGUGUUUGCAUAAUGUAGUGACAGUAGAUAUAAACACUGAGCAUGUUUUACAUUUCAUUUCAGAGGAUAUGAACUAUAGGCAUCCAGAAGACAGGACAGAAAUUCCACAGAGGAAAAUCCAGAGUCACUGCUGUUACCUCACCUUUACAGCAAUAGUAACUCUAAAAUAUGCCAUCACACAAAUUCUGGAUUUAAAAACUUUUUUUUUAAUAGAGGGGGGCAUUUAGAUUUAAUUGCACACAAACAUAGAAUAAACCAAGAAACAAGCAGCUUUCUAAAAUACAAUUGCAAAAUGCAUGAUGCUGUUUGCAGAAAGGACUAUCUUAAGUUAAAAAGUGAGAAACAAUAUGUAUCAUGCACUAACACAUCUGUGGCUGAUACAGAAUUAAAUAAAAAAAAAGAUGACACACAGAAACUAAGGAGUCUUUGCUGUGGGUUACUGUCAAUGGAAAGCUCAACUUGACUGUCACAAAGAAGAAGCUGUCAGCAAACCCAUCGCUGCUCAUGGCCAGAGGGCUGACUAGCACUGUUCAAACAAUGGGUGGGACCAACAUGAGAAAGGAAAUGGAACCCAAAACGUGCUGUUUGAUUCCAUCCCAGCCAUGGUUCCUCCCAGUAACAUUGUUCUGCAGCCUAGCCAGAAGCCAUAUCCACAUAAGCCGUGCCUUUAAUCACCCAAUUCCUAUUGAUUUCAAUGGGAAUCAGGCUCCUAAAUGCCUUUGUCAGUCUUAGCUUUACUGAUGUUGCCUUCAAACAGCAGUGAGAAGCUUUUGUACCACCCUGUUGCUGCUUCAACACCUUUCCAGGAGAAAGGAGGAAAACUACAUGCAUGUCUUAGGUGUGAUUCUUUCCAUUUUGCAAGGAGAUAACCACAAAGCCAGCACAAAAGGAGACAUCAGAAAGCAUACAAUUAUGUAUGGCUUUUAACACAAAGUGACAGCAGUGGCUGGCUAUGUCAGCAUACCUUUCCCAGAAACUCUGACAGCAUAUUCAAAUAUUAAGGAAAUUCCUAAUCACCUCUUACUUUCACACAUUUUUGAAAAUUAGAUUUAAGACUAUGCAAUUGUGUUAUAUUUCACAGCUAUUUUACAUGUAAAAUGUUGGGCACAGUUAUCCUGGCUGUCAAGCAGUUUCAUUGCAGCAGUUUAUAACACCACAAGGAAAUGUGUAUUUAAGGGGUGACUCUUUUUAGAGUUAUGUUCUGUUAGUGUUCUAUCCCCCUUAUGAGAGAUGAUUGAAGAAAAAAAGAAAAAUAACAUAUGGCAGCCAUUGCCAAAGUAAACACAUCUUGUUUUGAAAACCUGCAUGCUCCUCAGUUACUUUAAGAGUAAAAAGAGCUUUUAAAAAAUCAAUUCCAUUUGCUGCCUCCUGGGUUUUGAUUUUUUGGUUUUGGGUUUUUAUUUUUUCUGGCAAUUAACCAUUGUUGUUGGCAUUACAAAGAUCUGACAUUCAUUAAAAAAAAAAAAAGCAGCUGCGCUGGAAAUCAUGAAUGUCAAAGAAAAUUGAGAAUGCUAGCACAUGCUGAGUCGUUCUCCAGCAUAUUAACAGAAAUGCAUUCCAAAAGCAGGUUUUAUCCUAAGAAACCCUGAUCAGGGGUAGAAAUUCUUAUUGCUAUGGAAAAAGAGAUAAAUAUACAAAAUGAGAGUCAUUAUUUAUAUUACUUUCAAUGCUUAAAGUCUUAAAUGGUUCAUGGACACACGACCACAGACAUCACUUAUUUUUGCAUGCCACGUGUCAUCACAGGCUGUCAGCAGUGACAGCUGACUGACAGUUUAUCUCCUUUUGCAUAAAUGAGACAUUGCUACUGGUCAGACUAUCCUGCUUCCAAUGGAAAAAAAAAUGUUUCUUUCUAGAACAAGGACUUUAAAAUUAGGACUUAAAAUGUCAUCUGGUCCACUGCUCUACUCCAAGGCAGGACUGCUAGGGUUUAAAUGGUAUUCUGACAUUUUUUGAGUCUAUAUGUGAUUAUGAGAACAUAUAAGUGAAAUCAAACCUCCCCAUCCCAGAAGAGGCUUCUACAAACAAGUUAUGAAAAAAAAUAUUAAGAACUGAUAGUCUAGGAGUUGCACUUUAAUUACAUGUUCUGAUCUCUGGCAGGCUGUUGUAAGCUGACUGUUGUGUCUUGAAAGUGAUGUUUUAAGUUUGAAAAUUCCUGAACACAGGAAUGCUUAGGUCUGUAGUCCUUGCCAUUGGCUUACAACACUGGUGCACUGAUCUGGUACACUGUUAGCACAUCAGAACAGUGACCAACAAUUGUCUAAAAAAACAAUACAGAGAAAUACCACACUCAUUUUCUUCACCUGUAAGAAAUUUUGUACUAACACACUGAUACCAUUAGACUGCUAUGACCAGCUUGCAGAAUUCAGCCUGCCAUGCUCUGCAACAUCUUUACAGCAUCCACUAAACGUCCUGGAAGAUCUCCUAAAGGGAAUGGAGACCAUUAACUCUGAUCAUCCAUCCCAGGAAAGGCAUUUUCAUAGGUAAUCCUAUAUCAUCCUGUAUGUUUUUCUACAGUGGAAUAACUCAGAUAUAAUAUUAUAGUUCAAGAGAGUCGCUGAAUAUGUUUCAAGACUUAGAACUUGUGUGAAGGAGAAACAUUUAUACAUCUUUUACAAGCUCAUUCAGGCUAUUCAGUGAGGCUGUUUGAAACUGAAGAGCAACGGAAGCAUCAAAAUAGGUGAAAUGUAAACAAAAUGCAAAUUAAAUACUAGAAAUAUAAAUCAA